UACGUAGGUGGCAAGCGUUGUCCGGAUUUACUGGGCGUAAAGAGCGCGCAGGCGGUCGAUUUAGUCGCGUGUGAAAGCCCCCGGCUCAACUGGGGAGGGUCACGCGAUACUGAUCGACUCGAAGGCAGGAGAGGGUAGUGGAAUUCCCGGUGUAGUGGUGAAAUGCGUAGAUAUCGGGAGGAACACCAGUGGCGAAGGCGACUACCUGGCCUGUUCUUGACGCUGAGGCGCGAAAGCUAGGGAAGCAAACGGG
rnacentral:rRNA from 1 species